GAUGAACGCUGGCGGCGUGCCUAAUACAUGCAAGUCGAGCGAACGGACGAGAAGCUUGCUUCUCUGAUGUUAGCGGCAGACGGGUGAGUAACACGUGGAUAACCUACCUAUAAGACUGGGAUAACUUCGGGAAACCGGAGCUAAUACCGGAUGAUAUUUUGAACCGCAUGGUUCAAAAGUGAAAGACGGUCUUGCUGUCACUUAUAGAUGGAUCCGCGCUGCAUUAGCUAGUUGGUAAGGUAACGGCUUACCAAGGCAACGAUGCAUAGCCGACCUGAGAGGGUGAUCGGCCACACUGGAACUGAGACACGGUCCAGACUCCUACGGGAGGCAGCAGUAGGGAAUCUUACGCAAUGGGCGAAAGCCUGACGGAGCAACGCCGCGUGAGUGAUGAAGGUCUUCGGAUCGUAAAACUCUGUUAUUAGGGAAGAACAUAUGUGUAAGUAACUGUGCACAUCUUGACGGUACCUAAUCAGAAAGCCACGGCUAACUACGUG
rnacentral:rRNA from 1 species